GCUGACUGUAUGAUGACUGAUCUUUUUUCCCCAGCAGAUCGACCAUGUUGACUUCCUGUUUAUUUUAAGCCAAUGUAGUCUGACACAUCAGC